CUCAACAAUCUCAGAGAGAGUUUGUAUGGAAACCGCUUAUGCUUAUUCUCUGCUUAUUCUCUGCUGCUUGGUAUAACCAGAACUCGGAGAAUAAGCAUAAAAUGAACCGGCACUCAGUGACGUCAUGGAUUGGAUCGAAUCCUGUCCGGAGAAUGAUUGUUCCAAAUCGCUCAAGCCAUCACCACACCCGCUGUCAAAAUUAAAUUAAAACGAAACUCUUUUGUUUACUUUUUAUUCAAAGAUAGCCGCGUCGCCUUUCGUACGCUUAUAAAACCCAGUUUUUGUGUAGAUUUCUGUGUACAAGCUUGAUUUCCUUGCUACCUAUCCGUGUUACCUCUGUGAUUGUGGGUGGUUGUUGUGUGCAAUUCGAUCGGGAGUUGCUAAUUGUUGUUCACCUGUAAAACCUGUUACCAUGAGCGGUUCGAAUGUGGGAGCUACUAGCUGUGGAGCACACCCUAAAAUGAAACAAUCAUCGAAAUUAAACACAAGCACACCUUACCUCAGCGUCGGCAUCGUGC